AGUCUUUACAAUGGCUUUAUUUUAUAAGAAAUUGAAGCUUAGAGACGUUAAGUAACUUGCUCAGGAUCACAGCUAGUAUGUGGCAGAAGCAGGAUCUACUUUCUAUUAAAAGUCAAUGUAUUUGCAUCCAGUUUACACGUCUGUUUCCUGUGGGCUUGGUUAGCGUAAGCCAGUCCAUGAGAGUCUGGUCAUCCCUGAGUUACAUGAUGGGAUGGAGCACCUCUGCCUGUGAGGUGGAAACCUCGUCUCUGCGUGUGGUGACCUCCUGUGCUUGUUGGCUCAAUGACUUUCAAAGUCCCAGGGCCAAGAAACGUAAAAAUACUGCUCUGGCAGCCUCGUCCCUGUCAUCGGAGCACUUGGGUGGUUGGGCUGCUCUGAAUGGAGCCUGCGAGGGAGCUGCCGAUUUGAAUAAAGGUAGGGUUGCCACAAUCAGGGUCCUUGACUUUGAGCUAAUAAAACUGAAUCGUGGCAGCAAGGGUUCUAAAUGCCCUUUUGACUUGAUAGACUGAGAGCUAGACAGUCCGCCAGCAGGCCUGCAGAACUUCAUCACAGAGGCAUUUAUUGUUAGAAAGGGAAAAUCUGACAUUCAAAUGGGUUUUAACAUGAACACAUCAAAAGGGGAUGCCCCAGCCCUGAAGGUCCUUCGCUCCCGGAAAUGCAGGUUUCGGUUACACUGCAGCCUGGCCAACCACUGCGCCCUGUUCCAACAGCAGAGGAGUUGAAGUCCCUUCAUGUUACCCACCAGCUGGAGGAGACGGGCUCCGCCUGUUCUCUCGGCUUCCGGGGAAACAGGAAAAUGUCCCAACAGGCAAAGCGCAUUUUGUUAAAAAGCUAGACGGAGGUAUGUGACAUUCCUGCCCUUAACGAGCAAAA